GCAACUAGAAAUAUUGGGGAAUCGUGUGUAAAUCACGAACUGUCGCGCAACUGUAAGUAAUUUCUAAUUACAAAGUCAGAUUACCAAUACUUAU
rnacentral:ncRNA from 1 species